CCUACGGGUGGCAGCAGUGAGGAAUAUUGGUCAAUGGGCGAGAGCCUGAACCAGCCAAGUCGCGUGAAGGAUGACGGCCCUACGGGUUGUAAACUUCUUUUGUCAGGGAGCAAUUGGGUCCACGCGUGGGCUUAGCGAGAGUACCUGAAGAAAAAGCAUCGGCUAACACCGUGCCAGCAGCCGCGGUAAUACGGAGAAUGCGAGGGUUCUCCGGUUUUCUUGGGUUUAAAGGGUACGUAGGGGGAAUAUCAAGUCAGCGGUAAAAAUUCGGGGCGAAACCCCGUAGUGCCGUUGAAACUGAUGUGCUUGAGUGUGCGAGAGGUAUGCGGAAUGCGUGGUGUAGCGGUGAAAUGCAUAGAUAUCACGCAGAACUCCGAUUGCGAAGGCAGCAUACCGGCGCCCAACUGACGCUGAAGCACGAAAGCGUGGGUAUCGAACAGGAUUAGAUACCCUUGUAGUC
rnacentral:rRNA from 1 species